rnacentral:rRNA from 1 species
GGGGGAUAACCCAUGGAAACAUGGACUAAUACCGCAUAUACUUUUGCUACACAAGUAGAGUAGAGGAAAGGAGUGAUCCGCUUUACGAUGAGCCUGCGGCCUAUUAGCCUGUUGGUAGGGUAACGGCCUACCAAAGCUACGAUAGGUAGCCGACCUGAGAGGGUGACCGGCCACAUUGGGACUGAGAUACGGCCCAGACUCCUACGGGAGGCAGCAGCUGAGAAUCUUCCACAAUGGACGAAAGUCUGAUGGAGCGACAUCGCGUGAGGGAUGAAGGCCUUCGGGUUGUAAACCUCGGAAAUUAUCGAAGAAUGAUUGACAGUAGAUAAUGUAAGCCUCGGCUAACUACGUGCCAGCAGCCGCGGUAAUACGUAGGAGGCAAACGUUGCUCGGAUUUACUGGGCGUAAAGGGUGAGUAGGCGGACUUAUAAGUCUAAGGUGAAAGACCGAAGCUCAACUUCGGAAACGCCUCGGAUACUGUAAGUCUUGGAUAUUGUAGGGGAUGAUGGAAUUCUCGGUGUAGCGGUGGAAUGCGCAGAUAUCGAGAGGAACACCUAUAGCGAAGGCAGUCAUCUGGGCAUUUAUCGACGCUGAAUCACGAAAGCUAGGGGAGCAAACAGGCUUAGAUACCCUGGUAGUCCUAGCCGUAAACGUUGUACACUAGGUGCUUCUAUUUAAAUAGGAGUGCCGUAGCUAACGUCUUAAGUGUACCGCCUGAGGAGUAUGCCCGCAAGGGUGAAACUCAAAGAAAUUGACGGGUCCCCGCACAAGUGGUGGAGCAUGUGGUUUAAUUCGAUGAUACGCGAAAAACCUUACCUGGGUUUGAAUUGUAAGAUGAAUGAUUUAGAGAUAAGUCAGACCGCAAGGACGUUUUACAUAGGUGCUGCAUGGCUGUCGUCAGCUCGUGUCGUGAGAUGUUGGGUUAAGUCCCGCAACGAGCGCAACCCUCACCCUUUGUUGCUACCGAGUAAUGUCGGGCACUCUUAGGGGACUGCCUACGUUUAAGUGGGAGGAAGGUGGGGAUGAUGUCAAGUCCUCAUGGCCCUUAUGUCCAGGGCUACACACGUGCUACAAUGGCAAGUACAAAGAGAUGCGAGACCGCGAGGUGGAGCGAAACUCAAAAAAGUUGCCUCAGUUCGGAUUGGAGUCUGAAACUCGACUCCAUGAAGUUGGAAUCACUAGUAAUCGUAGAUCAGAACGCUACGGUGAAUACGUUCCCGGGGAUUGUACACACCGCCCGU